rnacentral:ncRNA from 1 species
UAAAUUCAACGUGAAAUGAAAUAAUUUGGACACCAAAAUGAAAAUCGCAUCUGCUGUACCGUACAUCCGCCUUGGCCGUACAGCAGCUAAUAGGGAACGUGAGCUGGGUUUAGACCGUCGUGAGACAGGUUAGUUUUACCCUACUGUUGACUUGUUAUUGCGAAAGUAAUCCUGCUUAGUACGAGAGGUAACAGCGGGUUCAAACAUUUGGUUCAUGGACUUGGUCGACAGGCCGAAUGGUCCGAAGCUACCAUUUGAGAGAUUAUAACUG